UACGUAGGGGGCUAGCGUUGUCCGGAAUCAUUGGGCGUAAAGCGCGUGUAGGCGGUCCGAUAAGUUCGCUGUGAAAGUCGGGGGCUCAACCCUCGGAUGCCGGUGAAUACUGUCGGGCUUGAGUACGGAAGAGGCGAGUGGAAUUCCUGGUGUAGCGGUGAAAUGCGCAGAUAUCAGGAGGAACACCAAUUGCGAAGGCAGCUCGCUGGGACGUUACUGACGCUGAGACGCGAAAGCGUGGGUAGCAAACAGG
rnacentral:rRNA from 1 species